rnacentral:rRNA from 1 species
CUUAGUGGCGGACGGGUGAGUAACGCGUGGGUAACCUGCCUUAUACAGGGGGAUAACAACCAGAAAUGGUUGCUAAUACCGCAUAAGCGCACAGGACCGCAUGGUCCGGUGUGAAAAACUCCGGUGGUAUAAGAUGGACCCGCGUUGGAUUAGCUAGUUGGCAGGGUAACGGCCUGCCAAGGCGACGAUCCAUAGCCGGCCUGAGAGGGUGAACGGCCACAUUGGGACUGAGACACGGCCCAG